rnacentral:rRNA from 1 species
GAUGAACGCUAGCGGCAGGCUUAACACAUGCAAGUCGAGGGGCAGCGCGAUGUAGCAAUACAUUGGCGGCGACCGGCGCACGGGUGCGUAACACGUAUGCUACCUUCCUCUUACUGGGGCAUAGCCCGGAGAAAUCCGGAUUAAUACCCCAUAAUACCUUGAAGGGCAUUCUUCGGGGUUGAAAGUCACAACGGUAAGAGAUGGGCAUGCGCACGAUUAGCUAGUUGGUGAGGUAAUGGCUCACCAAGGCUACGAUCGUUAGGGGGCCUGAGAGGGUUAUCCCCCACACUGGUACUGAGACACGGACCAGACUCCUACGGGAGGCAGCAGUGAGGAAUAUUGCGCAAAUGGAGGCAACUCUGACGCAGCCAUGCCGCGUGCAGGAAGAAGGCGCUACGCGUUGUAAACUGC